rnacentral:rRNA from 1 species
GACGUAGGGCGCGAGCGUUGUCCGGAUUUAUUGGGCGUAAAGAGCUCGUAGGCGGUUUGUCGCGUCUGCUGUGAAAUCCCGAGGCUCAACCUCGGGCUUGCAGUGGGUACGGGCAGACUAGAGUGCGGUAGGGGAGAUUGGAAUUCCUGGUGUAGCGGUGGAAUGCGCAGAUAUCAGGAGGAACACCGAUGGCGAAGGCAGAUCUCUGGGCCGUAACUGACGCUGAGACGCGAAAGCGUGGGGAGCAAACAGG